rnacentral:rRNA from 1 species
UACGGAAGGUGCAAGCGUUAUCCGGAUUCACUGGGUUUAAAGGGUGCGUAGGUGGACUGGUAAGUCCGUGGUGAAAUCCCCCAGCUUAACUUGGGAACUGCCGUGGAUACUAUCAGUCUUGAAUACUGUGAAGGUAAGCGGAAUAUGUCAUGUAGCGGUGAAAUGCUUAGAUAUAACAUAGAACACCGAUAGCGAAGGCAGCUUGCUACACAGUCAUUGACACUGAGGCACGAAAGCGUGGGGAGCAAACAGG